AAGCGCCUGCGCAGUCGCGGGGCCGCCGGCCGUGCUGUUCCCGCCAAUUCCUGUGGUAGUCCUUACCGUGUCGAGUUCCGCGCUCAAUGGAGACGUUUGACCCUACCGAGCUGCCCGAGCUGCUUAAACUUUAUUACCGGAGGCUCUUUCCCUACUCUCAGUACUAUCGCUGGCUCAACUACGGCGGAGUGAUAAAGAAUUACUUUCAACACCGUGAAUUUUCAUUCACAUUGAAAGAUGAUAUUUACAUUCGCUACCAAUCCUUCAACAACCAGAGUGAUCUGGAAAAGGAGAUGCAGAAAAUGAAUCCGUACAAGAUUGAUAUAGGCGCAGUAUAUUCCCACAGACCCAAUCAACACAAUACAGUGAAGCUGGGAGCUUUCCAGGCUCAGGAAAAAGAACUGGUAUUUGACAUUGACAUGACAGACUAUGACGAUGUGAGGAGAUGUUGUAGUUCUGCAGACAUAUGUCCUAAGUGCUGGACCCUCAUGACAAUGGCCAUACGCAUCAUUGACAGAGCAUUGAAGGAGGACUUUGGAUUUAAGCAUCGUCUCUGGGUAUAUUCUGGAAGGAGAGGUGUUCAUUGUUGGGUCUGUGAUGAAUCAGUUAGAAAAUUGUCUUCUGCAGUACGUUCUGGGAUAGUUGAAUAUUUGAGCCUUGUAAAGGGUGGUCAAGACGUUAAAAAGAAAGUUCACCUAAGUGAAAAAAUUCACCCUUUUAUCAGAAAAUCUAUAAACAUAAUAAAAAAAUACUUUGAAGAAUAUGCCUUGGUUAAUCAAGAUAUUCUCGAAAAUAAAGAAAGCUGGGAUAAGAUUUUAGCCCUUGUUCCUGAAACAAUUCAUGAUGAACUUCAACAAAGCUUCCAAAAGUCUCACAAUUCACUUCAGCGUUGGGAGCACUUGAAGAAAGUAGCCAGCAAAUGUCAGAAUAACAUCAAAAAUGACAAAUAUGGACCCUGGCUGGAGUGGGAGAUUAUGCUCCAGUACUGUUUUCCACGGCUGGAUAUCAAUGUCAGCAAAGGAAUCAAUCAUCUACUGAAGAGCCCUUUUAGUGUUCAUCCUAAAACAGGUCGCAUAUCUGUGCCUAUUGAUUUGCAGAAAGUGGACCAGUUUGAUCCAUUUACUGUUCCGACCAUAAGCUUCAUCUGCCGUGAAUUGGAUGCCAUUUCCACUAAUGAAGAGGAAAAAGAGGAGAAUGAAGCUGAAUCUGAUGUCAAACAUAGAACCAGAGAUUACAAGAAGACCAGUCUAGCACCUUAUGUGAAAGUUUUUGAACAUUUUCUUGAAAACCUGGAUAAAUCCCGAAAAGGAGAACUUCUUAAGAAGAGUGAUUUACAAAAAGAUUUCUGAAGACAGAGCUCCUCAAACCAUUGUGGAUAUCUUCUGCCUUCAACCACAGAUCAAAUACUUCAAGAGCCAUUUAAUAAAUACGGCAGAACUAUAAAUCGCGAGGUCGACUUAAUACCGCAGUCGCCACUUUGCGGACCGGAGGACGGAGUCUGCUUCGUUCUGAGAACUGCGUGGGUCCGCGCAGAGAGCUCCUGCCAGGCCUGCGCGUCCCGUUCUGAAUUCUUACCCUUAUUUGGACCUUGUCACCACCCCCGCCGUGGGAACGGCCUGACGGUCACCCGUCAAA